GACGAACGCUGGCGGCGUGCUUAACACAUGCAAGUCGAGCGAGAAACCUUCGGGUUUCUAGCGGCGGACGGGUGAGUAACACGUGGGUAACCUGCCUCAAAGAGGGGGAUAGCCUUCCGAAAGGAAGAUUAAUACCGCAUAAUAUUACAGUUUCGCAUGAAGCAGUAAUUAAAGGAGUAAUCCGCUUUGAGAUGGACCCGCGGCGCACUAGCUAGUUGGAGAGGUAACGGCUCACCAAGGCGACGAUGCGUAGCCGACCUGAGAGGGUGAUCGGCCACAUUGGAACUGAGACACGGUCCAGACUCCUACGGGAGGCAGCAGUGGGGAAUAUUGCACAAUGGGCGAAAGCCUGAUGCAGCAACGCCGCGUGAGUGAUGAAGGUCUUCGGAUUGUAAAGCUCUGUCUUUUGGGACGAUAAUGACGGUACCAAAGGAGGAAGCCACGGCUAACUACGUGCCAGCCGCCGCCGUAA
rnacentral:rRNA from 1 species